rnacentral:rRNA from 1 species
AUUGAACGCUGGCGGCAUGCCUUACACAUGCAAGUCGAACGGCAGCACGGGAGCAAUCCUGGUGGCGAGUGGCGAACGGGUGAGUAAUGUAUCGGAACGUACCUUUCAGUGGGGGAUAACGUAGCGAAAGUUACGCUAAUACCGCAUAUUCUGUGAGCAGGAAAGCAGGGGAUCGCAAGACCUUGCGCUGAUUGAGCGGCCGAUAUCAGAUUAGCUAGUUGGUGAGGUAAAGGCUCACCAAGGCGACGAUCUGUAGCGGGUCUGAGAGGAUGAUCCGCCACACUGGAACUGAGACACGGUCCAGACUCCUACGGGAGGCAGCAGUGGGGAAUUUUGGACAAUGGGCGCAAGCCUGAUCCAGCCAUGCCGCGUGAGUGAAGAAGGCCUU